AGCGAACGCUGGCGGCAGGCCUAACACAUGCAAGUCGAACGGAUCCUUCGGGAUUAGUGGCGGACGGGUGAGUAACACGUGGGAACGUGCCCUUUGGUUCGGAACAACUCAGGGAAACUUGAGCUAAUACCGGAUGUGCCCUUCGGGGGAAAGAUUUAUCGCCAUUGGAGCGGCCCGCGUCUGAUUAGCUAGUUGGUGAGGUAAAGGCUCACCAAGGCGACGAUCAGUAGCUGGUCUGCGAGGAUGAUCAGCCACAUUGGGACUGAGACACGGCCCAAACGCCUACGGGAGGCAGCAGUGGGAAAUCUUGCGCAAUGGGCGAAAGCCUGACGCAGCCAUGCCGCGUGAAUGAUGAAGGUCUUAGGAUUGUAAAAUUCUUUCACCGGGGACGAUAAUGACGGUACCCGGAGAAGAAGCCCCGGCUAACUUCGUGCCAGCCGCCGCCGUAA
rnacentral:rRNA from 1 species